CGGCUGUUUCGGUUCUUCUUUCUUUUCGCCGGCUCUUCGUUGCGGCUCUUGUUCUCGUUCUGUUUGCCGACUCUGUGAUUGGUGCCGACAACUGGCUGUUUUUGACUGUGUUGGCGUGUAUUUUCCAUUAGGUUUACCGCCAACGUGUGUAGAGUUACUGCAUUGUACUUUUUCUGUUAAAAACCUCAGGCUAUGAGGAUUAUCACGCCUCAUAUGUCACCUGUGUUUUAAAAGUUAUUGUGGUUUGGUGAGCCUCGGCGGCAGUUUAAUCCCUGGUGGUGGUUCACGGAUCCCUUUUUCGUUGGUGUGUUGUCACAGGUGUGAUUAUUUGGACCCCCUUUUUCUUCUUUUUGGUUAUUUGUUUGCCUGCCGCCAUGGUAAGCCAGCCUGCUCCCUUUAUUGUUUAAGUUUAGUACUCCUGAUUCUCUCUUUUAAACUGGUGGCUUGCUUUUUAUAUUUAAUGCCAUAAUUAAUAAAGAAAUUGUUGUAUUUUUGGAA